rnacentral:rRNA from 1 species
GAUGAACGCUGGCGGCGUACCUAACGCAUGCAAGUCGAACGGAGAAAUUCUUUGUAGCGAUACGGAGGAUUUUUGAGUGGCAAACGGGUGAAUAACACGUGGGUAAUCUACCUUGGAGUGGGGAAUAACGGCUCGAAAGGGUCGCUAAUACCGCAUGAGUUCUUUUGUGCGCGAGUGCGGAAGAAGAAAGACGCAAGUCGCUCUGGGAGGAGCCUGCGGCCGAUCAGGUAGUUGGUGAGGUAACGGCUCACCAAGCCGACGACCGGUAGCUGAUCUGAGAGGAUGACCAGCCACACUGGCACCGAGACACGGGCCAGACUCCUACGGGAGGCAGCAGCGAGGAAUAUUGCGCAAUGGGCGAAAGCCUGACGCAGUAACGCCGCGUGGGGGAAGAAGACCUUCGGGUUGUAAACCUCUUUUUGUAGAGACGAGGGAGGACGGUAUCUAUAGAAUAAGUCUCGGCUAACUACGUGCCAGCAGCCGCGGUAAGACGUAGGAGGCGAGCGUUAUCCGGAAUCACUGGGCGUAAAGGGCAUGUAGGCGGUUGCGCAAGUCGUGUGUUAAAGCCCCUGGCUCAACUAGGGGAGGUCAUGCGAGACUGUGCGGCUAGAGGGCAGGAGAGGCACGUGGAACUCCCGGUGUAGCGGUGGAAUGCGUAGAGAUCGGGAAGAACAUCAGUGGCGAAGGCGACGUGCUGGGCUGCACCUGACGCUGAGAUGCGAAAGUGUGGGGAGCAAACGGGAUUAGAUACCCCGGUAGUCCACACCCUAAACGAUGAACACUAGGUGUGGGAGGGAAAACCUUCCGUGCCGAAGCCAACGCGUUAAGUGUUCCGCCUGGGGACUAUGAGCGCAAGCUUA